GCAUAUCAAUAAGCGGAGGAAAAGAAACCAACCGGGAUUGCCUCAGUAACGGCGAAGUGAAGCGGCAAGAGCUCAAAUUUGAAAGCUGGCCCCUCCGGGGUCCGCAUUGUAAUUUGCAGAGGAUGCUUCGGGCUCAGCCCCCGUCUAAGUGCCCUGGAACGGGCCGUCGGAGAGGGUGAGAAUCCCGUCUGGGACGGGGUGCCUGGGUCCAUGUGAAGCUCCUUCGACGAGUCGAGUUGUUUGGGAAUGCAGCUCUAAAUGGGUGGUAAAUUUCAUCUAAAGCUAAAUACUGGCCGGAGACCGAUAGCGCACAAGUAGAGUGAUCGAAAGAUGAAAAGCACUUUGAAAAGAGAGUUAAACAGCACGUGAAAUUGUUGAAAGGGAAGCGCUUGCGAUCAGACUCGCCUGCGGGGUUCAGCCGGCAUUCGUGCCGGUGUACUUCCCCGUGGGCGGGCCAGCGUCGGUUCGGGUGGCCGGUCAAAGGCCCCGGGAAUGUGUCGCCCUCCGGGGCGUCUUAUAGCCCGGGGUGCCAUGCGGCCUACCUGGACCGAGGAACGCGCUUCGGCUCGGACGCUGGCGUAAUGGUCGUAAGCGACCCGUCUUGAAACACGGACCAAGGAGUCUAACAUCUACGCGAGUGUUUGGGUGGCAAACCCAUACGCGCAGUGAAAGCGAACGGAGGUGGGAACCCUUCGGGGCGCACCAUCGACCGAUCCUGAUGUCUUCGGAUGGAUUUGAGUAAGAGCGUAGCUGUGGGGACCCGAAAGAUGGUGAACUAUGCCUGAAUAGGGCGAAGCCAGAGGAAACUCUGGUGGAGGCUCGCAGCGGUUCUGACGUGCAAAUCGAUCGUCAAAUUUGGGUAUAGGGGCGAAAAGACUAAUCGAAACCAUCUGGUAGCUGGGUUCCUGCCGAA
rnacentral:rRNA from 1 species